ACUUUGCGAAGCGCGUGAGCGAUGGUAACGGUUAUCCUUUUUGUUUUUUGAACCAAUCUUUCUACCGUUUUACAAAAUUUCUAAAAACAAAAAGAUAUUAGUGGACAGCGCGACCCGAG
rnacentral:sRNA from 1 species